AAAGAAGAGGGUGUUAAGGGAUAAAGUCAGAGAAAGCAGAUCAAGGUGUUCAUGAAAACUUGAAGGUUGUGUGGAGCAGAAGGAAGAGGGGGUCUGAUAUGCAUGUUCUCCGUGGCACUCCUUAUCUAGGAUUUCUCUAGGGCAAAUGCUCAUUUUACCUCCCACAUCCCCAGUGGUAACUCAGCCUUUAAUACUUCAUGGCAAGAUAGGAUUGAUGUUGGAAUCCAGCUAAAUUGGAUACAAAUGGUACAAUGCAGCUUGGUUAUGAAUGAAUAAAGGACUGCAACAGGAAGCAAAAAUCUUUAGGACUUGAAGAUUGUAGUAAUAGUAAACCCAGAAAUAGCAGCACCUGAU
rnacentral:lncRNA from 10 species